GUAAUACAUCGGAACGUACCCAGUAGCGGGGGAUAGCCCGGCGAAAGCCGGAUUAAUACCGCAUACGCCCUACGGGGGAAAGGGGGGGAUCGUAAGACCUCUCACUAUUGGAGCGGCCGAUGGCUGAUUAGCUAGUUGGUGGGGUAAAGGCCUACCAAGGCGACGAUCAGUAGCUGGUCUGAGAGGACGACCAGCCACACUGGGACUGAGACACGGCCCAGACUCCUACGGGAGGCAGCAGUGGGGAAUUUUGGACAAUGGCGAAAGCCUGAUCCAGCAAUGCCGCGUGUGCGAAGGAGGCCUUCGGGUUGUAAAGCACUUUUGUCAGGGAAGAAAUCGUUCGGGCUAAUACCUCGGGCAGUUGACGGUACCUGAAGAAUAAGCACCGGCUAACUACGUGCCAGCAGCCGCGGUAAUACGUAGGGUGCAAGCGUUAAUCGGAAUUACUGGGCGUAAAGCGUGCGCAGGUGGUUCGUUAAGACAGUUGUGAAAUCCCCGGGCUUAACCUGGGAACUGCAAUUGUGACUGGCGGACUAGAGUUUGGCAGAGGGGGGUGGAAUUCCUGGUGUAGCAGUGAAAUGCGUAGAUAUCAGGAGGAACACCGAUGGCGAAGGCAGCCCCCUGGGCCAUGACUGACACUCAUGCA
rnacentral:rRNA from 1 species